rnacentral:tRNA from 1 species
GCGGGCGUGGCGGAAUAGGUAGACGCUGGCGACUUAAAAUCGCCUGGGGCCUCCCGUGCCGGUUCGAGCCCGGCCGCCCGCACCA